AGCCUUUGUGGUUCAUAAGCAUGCAGACUAGGCGGUCACACACUCCUGAGACGUGUGCCUCCCUCAAGACUUGUUAUCAGAUCAACACUCUACUCAUCUGAUA